rnacentral:rRNA from 1 species
UACGUAGGGCGCAAGCGUUAUCCGGAAUUAUUGGGCGUAAAGAGCUCGUAGGCGGUUUGUCGCGUCUGCUGUGAAAGACCGGGGCUCAACUCCGGUUCUGCAGUGGGUACGGGCAGGCUAGAGUGCAGUAGGGGAGACUGGAAUUCCUGGUGUAGCGGUGAAAUGCGCAGAUAUCAGGAGGAACACCGAUGGCGAAGGCAGGUCUCUGGGCUGUAACUGACGCUGAGGAGCGAAAGCAUGGGGAGCGAACAGG